ensembl:lincRNA
AUGGAGCGGGGGGGGCGAGCGGGGGCUGCAGGGUCCAGCUCCCGGGAGAUAGGGGUCAUUCCACCUGUCGCCGGGCACGCGCCGGCCGCACGGGGGCGCCAGCGGACAGGCCCCCGCAGAACGCGCCCGGCCGGGCGAGCGGCGGUCAGUCCCGGGAGGUGGCGCUCGCGAGGCGGGGAAGGGCGGCGAGGGGCUGUGUGGUCCGUGGAAAAUCCCCACGGCCCGCCCCGCGCGGGACCCGCUGUAACCUCGGCCCCGGCGGCCAGGCGGGGUGGGGUCUUCGCCAGGGCUCAAGAUCCUCCUGGGAUGCGCAGUGGGGCUUGGGGAGUGAAAAGCACUCUCGAGGGUGCGUGGGGCAGGAGCACCGGGGUCGUACAGGCGGGCGUGGAGGGGCGCGGGCGCCAUCAGAGCGGGGUCGCAUCCUUCCUACCAAGGCCGGACCUAACGUCGUGUUCCUCAGGCUGUGCAGUCACUGAGGGCAUGGGCACCCCUAACCCCUCCCCAACCCUCAGCCUCGCAUCCUUCCAUUAUCUGCUAGGGGCUGGAGAGGGGGUGAAUGCGGCACCCAGGUCCUUCUGUCCCACCUGCGCCCCCUGCCUAUUCCUCCGGCUGGCUGGAUCUCUGGCAGUCCCAGCAGCAACACGGAGCAGACGGGGCGAGUUGAGCUGGGAUGGGGGUGGAGGUACGGACGCCAGGCGUCUCUCCGCCCCCCUGUGUCACCUCCUCUUGCUGGAGUCAGGGCCACUCGCGGACUGCCAUCUCCCCGCCCAGGGAACGAAGAACGCGAGCACAGGGACUGGGUACCGGUGGCCGACGGGUCAGUGCCCGGGGCUGGCCCAGGACCAACGCUGCCCCAACCCCCGCGCAGCUAGUUGCCUAGCAGGGCCCUACCCGGAGCCAGCGCCUCCGAGGCCCGACGGGAGCCCUUUCCCCUGUGGGCGACCACCGCUGCGGCCAGCAGGGACGGUCCAAUGCAGGCUCCGUGUGAGUAGGAGCCGAGAUUCUUACCUGUCCAGGUGUCUGCCUGGCCUGGAAGCCACCGAGACCAAAUGUGGGGCAGCUCCAUGCAUGGUGGUCCAUGCGUGGGGGUCCCUGACGAUCUCACAUGCACUCACCGGAGCUCUGUCCCAGGCUUGUCUGCUGGGGGUAAGGGGGCAGAUGAUGGAAACAGCUGCUCAAGGGACUCCACAAUGUGAGGUCAGGAGUGGGCAGAAAACGAGAAAACGAGGCAGAGGGCAGCAGGUGGGAAACUGUCAGGGAAGCCCCCCAGCAGCUGACCUGUGGGCAUCACCCUUCUGAUGGGAGGCAGCUGAGGAAAGGCCUGGAGAAUGGGCUGAGCAGGCGGCUAUGAGGCGGAGAGUGCUAAGGGUGGACAGCAGGCCGCCAUCAGGAACUCACAUUUUUUUUUUUCCUUUGGCAGUGGAAAGCCUGAAUGAUAAUACGGAUAAUCGCCCAGAGAAUCUAUGCUGGAAAGUAGAUUUAAAACUUACUAAAUUUAAAUUGCAAUUUUACUACAAUUAUAUGUGUCUAUAUAUCUUUAUGUAUAUUUUAAAUGCAUUCAGCUGUAGUCUAAGCACAGAGUGAGGCAGGGCUGAUCCUCCCCAGGUCCAGCUCAGAGGAGCCUCAGAAGCCACUUGCUCUGAGAAUGAGCCACAACUUUCCCAAAGAAACAGGUGGAAGGAGCUUUAGUCCCCAGGUCAGCCCAGCCAGGGGCUUUUAAACCUUAACCUACAACCUGAAGUUCUAAGAGAACUAGUUUGGGACAUUGUUUCUUUGGAAAAUACAGCCUUGGUCCCAUUAGGGGCACUGGGGAAAAUAACUGCUAUUACUGCCCCCUCACCCCCGCAUUCAGGUGGGUCCUGGGCCAAUGUUGAAGGGAGUCUGGCCUCACCUUCUGACCUGGCUCAAGAUUUCCCACAGACACUGAGUGGAAUCGCUGCCUGUGAUGUUUGUCUGGCUUAUCUGCACUGAGCCUCCACCUCCCUGGGUCUAGCUUUACAGAUGAAGAAUAGAGGCCCAGGCAGCCAGGAGAUGUCAAAGCUCUGCUUGGUGUAGGGAGGGGAGCCUGGACCCCAAGCCCUGACCACUGUCUAACCUAUAUAACAUCCAGGACUUCAUUCUCUGGAUGUACCGUGUGGUGGAGUGGAGCAGAGUUAAACGAGGUUCCAGAGUGAGUCGUACAGGCUGCAGAGAAGACAACAAAUGAGGGUAUGUUCUGUGUUACCUGCUGUGUAAAAAGGAGGGAGAGAACCUGCAUUUGUGUCCACUUAGCUUCUGAUACAUGCAUAUGCUCAUCUUUGCAGAAAAACAGGAGGGCCACUGUGGAACUGGAAGAUUACUUCCUAUGUGGGUGACAGUCAGAGUGAUGAAGAGGGAGUGACCCUUUUCUGGCUAUGGGUCAUUUUAUAUGUAUAACUUUUGAAUCAAAUAAUAUUUAACUCAAAUGAAUAUUCUCCAUAAUCAAAUUAUUAAAUAGAGAAAGAAUGAAAAAGACCCUAAAAUUCAGUCAUAAAUGAUUUUUUGAUUCCUUUAUUGUAUAUCAAAUCAACAUAACCACGCAGAAAAAAAGAGAAUUCAAACAGCUUUGAACACCAUAUUCUGAAUUUCAGUGUGAUAUAUUCUGAGGACAAAAAUAAUUACAAAGAGAUCUUGAGAUUUCCUUAGUAGGUUUGGUUAGUAGCAGGAUUGUUAUAGUAAUUCCAAAGCUAUUUGGAGGGCAUUUUGGAACAGAGUAAAUUAAUAAAUAUGUUGAUGCUGCUGAAAAAGGGUUCUUACUGUCGAUAAGGGUUUAUUUGGUUGUGCCUUUUUUUUUUUGUAUAUUGAAAAUGGUUUAAUAUUUACAAAUGCAUACAGUUCAGUUCAGUAGCUCAGUCGUGUCUGACUCUUUGCGACCCCAUGGACCGCAGCACGCCAGGCCUCCCUGUCCAUCACUAACUCCUGGAGUCCACCCAAACCCAUGUCCAUUGAGUCGGUGAUGCCAUCCAACCAUCUCAUCCUCUGUCAUCCCCUUCUCCUCCUGCAUCAGGGUCUUUUCAAAUGGGUCAGCUCUUCGCAUCAGGUGGCCAAAGUAUUGGAGUUUCAGCUUCAACUUCAGUCCUUCCAAUGAACACUCAGAACUGAUCUUCUUUAGGAUGGACUGGUUGGAUCCCCUUGCAGUUCAGGGGAUUCUCAAGAAUCUUCUCCAACACCACAGUUCAAAAGCAUCAAUUCUUCUGUGCUCAGCUUUCUUUACAGUCCAACUCUCACAUCCAUACAUGACUACUGAAAAAAAACAUAGCCUUGACUAGGUGGACCUUUGUUGGUAAAGUAAUGUCUCUGCUUUUUAAUAUGCUGUCUAGGUUGGUCAUAACUUUCCUUCCAAGGAGCAAGUGUCUUUUAAUUUCAUGGCUGCAGUCACCAUCUGCAGUGAUUGUGGAGCCCCCCAAAAUAAAAUAAGUCACUGUUUCCAUUGUUUCCCGUCUAUUUGCCAUGAGGUGAUGGGACCAGAUGCCAUGAUCUUAGUUUUCUGAAUGUUGAGCUUUGAGCCAACUUUUUCACUCUCUUUCACUUUCAUCAAGAGGCUCUUUAGUUCUUUUUCACUUUCUGCCAUUAGGGUGGUGUCAUCUGC